rnacentral:lncRNA from 1 species
GGGUGUGUCAUACAAACCAUCACUUUCACCCUUUUCCUCACCCACCAAAAUCAACUUGCAAAAACUUUUUAGAAAAUUUUUCAUAACUUCUUCCAUUGGCCGGCCACCCCAAGUGGGGUUACUUUUGGGGCCUUUUGUGCAAUUACAUAAAGUUUGAGAUACUUUUGUGUGUUUGCAUUUUGGCCCAAAAGUUUACGUUUUACGUUAAGGCCCAAAAACUCUAAAGGACAAAUUGUUUUGAUCCUUUAAUGAUGCUUUUACAUUAUUAAAAUUUUGGGAUCUAGUUGUAAUUACAUGAAGUUGUGGACUAUUGUGUUUUUACAAAGUGACCCCAAAAGUUUUUGUAUUUGCAUUAUGGCCAAAUUGUUGUGGUCAUAGUUUCCUUUUGGCCCAAAUAAAAUGAGAACAAAAUGGUUUUGUCUCUUUAAUGAGAAUUGGAUUUUCAUUUCAUUAAGUUCCAUUUAAAUCAAUUCUAUGGAUCCAAAAACCAAUUGUUUAAAGUUGUUUUCUUAGUUAAUGUGAUUGAUUAAGAAAAGGGUGAUUAUGAACCAAUGGCCACGAUAAUUGAGCUAUGUGAUUGGCCGAUUUACAUUAUGAAUGUUUGGGUUUUAGUAGUGUAGAUUUGAAUGUAAUUUGAUUAAUUCAAUUUGUUGUAAAUGGGCAUAAGUCCAUCAUUUGAUUUGUGUUGUAAAAGGGCAUAAGCCCUUCUUAUUAUUUCAUGUAUUCCUUUUGUUUAUAUGUAUGCAAAAUGGAAUAGUUGGGUCCAACGCCCAAUAGGAAAUAACGAUUUAAUUGGAUUAAACGCGUAACUAAAAUCAACAACUAUCUACCUUAAACCCAAGGUCCAACACA